AGAGUUUGAUCCUGGCUCAGGAUGAACGCUAGCGACAGGCUUAACACAUGCAAGUCGAGGGGCAGCAGGGGCGUAGCAAUACGCCUGCUGGCGACCGGCGCACGGGUGAGUAACACGUAUGAAACCUGCCCGUAGCAGGGGGAUAAGCGGAAGAAAUUCCGUCUAAUACCGCGUAAUAACCGUUUGGGGCAUCCCUUAAGGUUUAAAGGAGCGAUCCGGCUACGGAUGGUCAUGCGUCGCAUUAGCUAGUCGGCGGGGUAACGGCCCACCGAGGCGACGAUGCGUAGGGGUUCUGAGAGGAAGGUCCCCCACACUGGUACUGAGACACGGACCAGACUCCUACGGGAGGCAGCAGUGAGGAAUAUUGGUCAAUGGCCGGAAGGCUGAACCAGCCAAGUCGCGUGAGGGAAGACGGCCCUAUGGGUUGUAAACCUCUUUUGUCGGGGAGCAAAGGCCGCCACGCGUGGCGGAUUGAGAGUACCCGAAGAAAAAGCAUCGGCUAACUCCGUGCCAGCAGCCGCGGUAAUACGGAGGAUGCGAGCGUUAUCCGGAUUUAUUGGGUUUAAAGGGUGCGCAGGCGGGAUGUCAAGUCAGCGGUCAAAUCGAGGGGCUCAACCCCUUUCCGCCGUUGAAACUGGCGUCCUAGAGUGGGCGAGAAGUACGCGGAAUGCGUGGUGUAGCGGUGAAAUGCAUAGAUAUCACGCAGAACUCCGAUUGCGAAGGCAGCGUACCGGCGCCCAACUGACGCUCAUGCACGAAAGCGUGGGUAUCGAACAGGAUUAGAUACCCUGGUAGUCACGCAGUAAACGAUGAAUACUAACUGUCCGGCCCGAUCGGGGGCUGGGCGGUACAGCGAAAGCGUUAAGUAUUCCACCUGGGGAGUACGCCGGCAACGGUGAAACUCAAAGGAAUUGACGGGGGCCCGCACAAGCGGAGGAACAUGUGGUUUAAUUCGAUGAUACGCGAGGAACCUUACCCGGGCUCAAACGACGGAUGAAUGUUUUUGAAAGGAGGCAGCCCUUCGGGGCAUCCGUCGAGGUGCUGCAUGGUUGUCGUCAGCUCGUGCCGUGAGGUGUCGGCUUGAGUGCCAUAACGAGCGCAACCCCCAUCGCCAGUUACCAGCAAGUGAAGUUGGGGACUCUGGCGAGACUGCCGGCGCAAGCUGUGAGGAAGGCGGGGAUGACGUCAAAUCAGCACGGCCCUUACGUCCGGGGCGACACACGUGUUACAAUGGCAGGUACAGAGAGAUGCCACCUGGCGACAGGGAGCAGAACUCGAAAGCCUGUCUCAGUUCGGAUCGGAGUCUGCAACCCGACUCCGUGAAGCUGGAUUCGCUAGUAAUCGCGCAUCAGCCAUGGCGCGGUGAAUACGUUCCCGGGCCUUGUACACAACGCCCGUCAAG
rnacentral:rRNA from 1 species